rnacentral:rRNA from 1 species
GACGAACGCUGGCGGCGUGCUUAACACAUGCAAGUCGAACGGAAAGGCCCUGCUUUUGUGGGGUGCUCGAGUGGCGAACGGGUGAGUAACACGUGAGUAACUUGCCCUUGACUUUGGGUUAACUUAAGGAAACUGGGGUUAAUCCCGGAUAGGAGCUCCUGCUGCAUGGGGGGGGUUGGAAAGUUUCGGCGGUUGGGGUGGGACUGCCGGCUUAUACGCUGGUGGGGGGGGUAGUGGCUUACCAAGGCUUUGACGGGUAGCCGGCCUGGGAGGGUGACCGGCCACAUUGGGACUGAGAUACGGCCCAGACUCCUACGGGAGGCAGCAGUGGGGAAUAUUGCACAAUGGGCGGAAGCCUGAUGCAGCAACGCCGCGUGCGGGAUGACGGCCUUCGGGUUGUAAACCGCUUUCGCCUGUGACGAAGCGUGAGUGACGGUAAUGGGUAAAGAAGCACCGGCUAACUACGUG